rnacentral:rRNA from 1 species
AUAGUUAAGUGAAUAAGGGCGCACGGUGGAUGCCUUGGUACUAGGAGCCGAUGAAGGACGGGACUAACACCGAUAUGCUCCGGCGAGCCGUAAGUAGGCUUUGAUCCGGAGAUUUCCGAAUGGGGAAACCCACUGUUCGUAAUGGAACAGUAUCCUAUACUGAAUACAUAGGUAUAGGCAGGCACACCCGGGGAACUGAAACAUCUAAGUACCCGGAGGAAGAGAAAGCAAAUGCGAUUUCCCAAGUAGCGGCGAGCGAAACGGAAUCAGCCCAAACCAGAAAGCUUGCUUUCUGGGGUUGUAGGACACUCCAUUGGAGUUACCAAAGAGGAAGAUAGGCGAAUCGAUCUGGAAAGGUCAGCCAGAGCAGG